AGACUAAGCUCGACGAACGAUCUCAGAUUUCGAAAAAUUUGCUUUAAAAAUCCAUCAAAUUAAAUUAAUUUCAAAUAAAUUAAGGCUUUUACUCCAAGAAUCAUUAUAAUGACAAUAAGAUAUUAUAAAAUUUCAAAAUACAUCAAAACAUCAAAAUUUCAUUAUCAAAAAUAAUUUAAUGAUUCAAAACCAUCAAGAUGUAAGUUGAUGAAAAAUGAUUUUUAGAAAUUCAACAAAAAUUGACACCAAUUUGUCGUAACACGUUCAAAAUAGAGAUUUAACUAAUAUGGCACCGGGGGUGGCUCUUUGAGCAUCUUUUCAACUUACCACCUUAUAACUCCGAAAAUUCUAAAAUAUUCAAUUUUUUUUCAACCUUUUUCGGUUACUCAAUUCAAUCUUCAUGUGGUAGCUUCACACACUUGCCGGACGACCGGGGUGGUAGCUCUUUCCUACAUGUGGUGGUAGUUUUCACACUCCUUUUGGAUGUAACUCUUUCCACAUCUUUUUAAACUUAGGAGUUUCUUUUUCUCCUUUUUUUAUUUUUAAACAAUUUCAAACUCCCCCUAAAUUAGACAAUCUCACAAUUGAAAAUAAUUUUGACGAAUUUUAGUCAAUUAGAGAAUAUCCAUUCAUCAUAUCCAACACUCACAACCAAGAUGAAUUAAUCACCAAAAAAUCAAAUUUGAUUUCAAAAUUUUGAUGAAUAUAUGCAUUAAGAAAUCAUAUAUUAAAUUAUCGUCAAAAUAAUAAAAAGUGGAGUAAAAACGAUAAUUAAUAUGAAUUUAACUUAAUAUGAUUGUGAAGUUAAACCCGUUAAAAAAACUCUCCUCAAAAUAAAGAUUCUCAAUCAUCUCCUUUCUCGAAAAUUUUGAAUUCCAAAACACCUUUUCCUCAAAAUGAUUUUUAAAUAAACAAAAUUCAAAGCACCAAAAAUCAUUUAAACAUGUAAUGCAAUGAAUAAAAUUAUGCAACAAGCACCAAUCAAAGCAUUACACUAAAGAUCAAAAAUGACUAAGACGAGGAGCAAGGAAAGAUAUCACCUUUCCGGAUCCAAACUUGUCGGAUCUUUGGUUUUCUCGGCUUGUCGACGUUUGGUGCCGUUUGCUUAGAUUUUUGAUCAAUCGUUGGUGUUUUCUUCGCUUGAGGCUUAGGUAGAACUUGGCGUUUAGGCUUAGAAGUCCGAUUCUUUUGAGGCACUCGACUUAAAUUAUUUUGCUUUUGAUUCCGUGGGGGAUGUCGAAUAGUAGAUGACGCCGAUGGAUGUUUUGAAUUUGCCGAUUGUGACUUGCCAUUUUUGUUUGGGCAAUUCCUUUUGAUGUGUCCUUCGAUGCCACAUCGAUGACACACUUUGCCUUUUAAAGUUGUUGAGACUUUAGAUGUCGCCGUUUGAUCCUUCUCAACAUAUGUCCGUUCAUAUCCAAGGCCCAAUUUGCUCGUUUGACCCAAUCCAAGCAUUUUGUCCAACUUCUUUGAUCCCGAAGAAAAUUGUUGAAGAUCGGAUUGGAGUUGACGAACUUGAUCGGUCAAGACUUGAUUGGACUUGUGCGAUUCAUCAAAUUGUUGCUCCAAAAAUCCAAUCUUGUCGUUAGAAGAUUUGAUCGUUGAUUCCGCAUCAUUAAGCUUCUCUUGGAGGUCCGAAUUAAUCUUCAAGCUUGAAUCCCUUUCCUCCUCAAGAACCUUAUUCAAAUUCUUUACGUUGUUGUUUUCCUCCUCAAGUUCCAACAAACGACGUCUCAACUUCUUGUUGAGUUUAGCCAUCUUCUUUGAUUCAAUGAGAAGUUGAUUGUACGCUUCCGCUAUGUCGUCGUCGUUUGAUUCCUCUUCACUUUCGCCAUUGUUGCUCGAUGAAUCAUGUGAAGAAAGAGAAAUAUUGGAGUUAGUAGCAAAAGAGGAUAAACACACAACAUUCGACGAAGGAGUAUUAGCAAAUAAGGCAAUUUGAUCAUUCUUUUCUUCGUCACUUGACGAUGAUUCACUUGAUGUUGAAUCAUCCCACGUCUUUGCUUGCAUAGCCUUUUGUCUAUACGUCUUCUUUGAAGGACAAUCCGUCGCAAUGUGGCCGUAGCCUUUGCACUUGAAGCAUUGGAUCUCGCCUUCAAAGACAUCCUUUUCUUUCGAAGCCUUUGCACGCUUCUUCUCCUUAGAUGUAGACGAUGAAGAUUUAGACGAUGAAGCCUUGUCCGAUCUAUUCUUCUUUCGAAAAUUCCGACGAAACUUCUUCGUGAGAAGUGCCAAUUGUUGUUCAAAGUCCGCAAUAGAGUUCUCUCCGUCGGAAUCCGAGUCUCCGUCUUUCUCUUUCGUCGAUUUCAAUGCAACCCCUGUGCUUUUAGAGAAAGACUUGGAAGAAGAUUGAUUAGUAGGAAAAGUCAUCUCAUACGUUUGUAAAGCUCCUACUAAUUCUUCUACUUUCAUCUCGUCCGGAUGUUUGACCGUUUCGAUCGCGGCUACUUUAGCCCGAAAACGUUCCGGAAGAGUGCGAAGGAUUUUCCUAACAACCUUUGAAUCCGGGAUUUUCUCUCCCAAGUUAGCACAUGUGUUCACAACAUCUUGUAGACGUGUAUAGUACUCGGUAAAGGUCUCAUUUUCGUCCAUAGAAAUUGAAUCAAACUUGCUAGUUAGCAUUUGCAAUUUUUGGACCUUUACUAAGCUUGUUCCUUCAUGCGUAACUUGUAGAGUAUCCCAAAUUUCCUUUGCCGUUUCGCAAGCCGAAACACGAGUAAACUCCGUUUGAGACAAUGCAUUAAAUAAAGCGUUUAUGCCCUUGCCGUUAAACGAAGAUGUCUCGUUUUCUUCUUUCGUCCAUUUGUUCCGUGGUUUUGGCUUUUCAACAUUAUCGACCUUUUCUAUCGGAUGUUUCCACCCAAAUUCAAUUGAUUGCCAAACCCGCUCAUCGAUAGCAAUUAGAAAAGCUCUCAUGCGAACUUUCCAAUAGGCAUAAUUCGUGCCGUCGAAGAGCGGAGGUCGAUUAAUGUUACCACCUUCGGCCAUUAGAUAACAAUUUAUCUAGAUCCCGCUCUGAUACCAAUUGAAAGUUUUGAGGAGCCCAAGGAUCUAUCUAGAUUGUAUCUAUCACCUAGAGGGGGGUGAAUAGGUGAACGGCCAAAAACCACAAAUCUCGAUGCAAUAAAAAUAAAUGCGGAAAAUAAAAAGCACACCGAGAUUUACGUGGGAAAACUCCAACUUGGAGAAAAACCCACGGGACCAACACGCGAAAAAAUAAUUCACUAAGAGAAAAGAUUACAAGGUGAUUACCGACUCCACGGACUCAACCUCUCUUAACCUCCUAUGAAUCUUCGCGCUACCCUCCGGGUUGUCCACGCCCUCACGUCCGAAUCCACGAACGCCUCCACUUCGAAUCCACGAAGCUUCAAUCACGCCGAAUCCACGACGCCACUCGAAUCCACGAGCCCACGAUCCGAAUCCACGAACCGCCGUCAAAUACGCCGAAUCCACGACGCCGUCAUGAAGAGUAUCAUGAUUAUGGUGAUCCUUUGCUUAGGAGUAUCGUAGAAAACCAGGAAAAGAAACUCCAAGCAAAGCGGAGAUCAAAUCGGCAUAUAGAUAUCAAAUUACAAUAUUCCGAUUUGACCUAAAAGAGGCUAAUAUGUAGAAAAUAGGUUUUAGAUGAAAUCCAAGCCUCUAGGGUUUCUCAAACAUGUAUUCUUAUGAUGCUUAAUCUGUUAGAGAAGCCCAAUAGCUUAUUUAUAGACUUUAGAAUCAAUUGGAGUCGGAUUAGAAAAAUUUCACGAUUUUACACUGUGUACGGGUACGCGAAAUGCUGUCACCGGUUACACAAGGACGGAACAGAAAUACGAAGCCAAGUCAGUGGCUGUACCGGUACGUGCUUGAUUGCUGUACCGGUACACAAUGCAAUUUUUGGAAUUUUGCAUUGUUUCGAGUUCCGUACACUUCCAAAGCACUUUCUAAUCAACUAAACUUUUGAUUAAAUGAUUCUAAUGCCUAUAACUAAGUAUGAAUCACCAUAACAUGAAUUAAAACUUUACCUGACCAUCGUGAUUCACGUCGUGAGGUAUUUUCUGAUUUUUUUCUAAAAUCUUGAAUUCUUUGAUCUUUGUCAAUUCGCUUCGAUUCUUCAAGACUCCGACUCACUUCACGAAACUUGCCAAUACAAAAUCCUUAACACUCUUCCUCCGCCUUCGCCGACGCAGGCACUAACGCCGGUGUCGGAGAAGGAAAACUUGGAGCCAGUGUUGUUGAGAGCAAGAAAAAAGAAUAAAAAAAAUAAAGAAUAAAAUAUAAAAAAAUAAUUUUUUCUAUAAGAAAAUUGAAGAACCAGGGAGAAAAGAAAAAGAUAAAGAAUUUGCACUAUUUUAGAAAAAUGUUGUACUGUUUCAGAGAAACGUUGCACUCUUUUAGAAAAAAUUUACACUUUUUGAGAGAAAAAAUAUACUUUUUAAAAUAAAAGUUACAGUCUUUGAAUGAAAGUUGCACUCUUCGAACGAAAAUUGCACUAUUUGCACAAAAUUUAUACUGUUUCUUCUCCUUCUCCUCACCCUCUUUGUCACGCCCUGAGCCCGAUCCUUUUGACUGGUUCGAGCGCGUCGAACAGACCCCGAACGGACAGAGUUUCCCCUGUUCGUCCAAGGCUCAACCAUAGGUAUAGAUAGAGUAUAAAUUUUGCAUAAGCGGAAGCAUACACAAUGGUUUGCACGAGGGCAAGCAAUAGCCAAUAGUGAAAGUACUAAACUAAUCAACAUACAAGUACUUUGAUUAAAUUUAAAUCACAUACAUGUGUUCUACUUUAGAAUAUUUUACAACUUUGCAUCAUUUUUUUUGUACAUCACAUAAUCCCAAAUUAUACCUUUGCAUUUAACGUCGUAAAGUAUUUUUAAUACAAUUACUUUAAACAUCUAUAAUCAUCAAAUACAAAAGAUGAUGUAUAAGGGUAUGCAACUAAACCAAAAUAAGAAACCAUCUCGGGUGGUCUCUAUCUAGGGCGGGAUACCCUUACCGCGAUCAUCCGCCAGCUCGCUCAGUCCGGGCUCUGUGGAAAAUGGGGCAUGAGAACUACAACAAAGUUCCCAGUGGGUUCGGCAACCAACCACGCCGACUUUCCCACUAGGUCUAAAUCAGAUAUAAUAGAAGAAAAGAGAUAUAGGAAAUAACCAAACUAUACAAAUGCAACUAAUAUGCCUGAACAAUAAUAAAUGCAAUGCUCAAUAGUAUGCUCAUGUUGAAUGUAAGGUCACAAUCUCAUUACCCAAUUUUCUUGGCUAACCCGUAGGUUUCGCCCUCAACGACCCACGAACCAAAUCCCUACUAUCGGGGAGAUACCCGCUACAAUCCGACCGGGCCGUUCUUUGGGGAGAACUCACUACGACCCAGUGAUGACAACUCCGGAGCACAUCGCCCGAGAGGGAGCUACCAUCCUCGAGCAAGGACUUACAGGUGAGUAUGAUCCAAUCCUUAACUAUAAGGAUGUCAAGUCCAAUCCAUUCCUUAUCUAUAAGGAAACAAUGCACAUAUGACCCUUAACUCUAAAGUUGUUAUGUCAUAAUGUCACUACCUUUGUAUACUUGCAUUCAUUGACCUUUACUAGUGUCAUAUACACUACUUUGUUCUUGUACUCAUUCACUAAUGCCACAGUUGUUUUCUAAGUGUUUCAACUCUAACAUUCUCGACUCAUCAUUGUCACUUUCCACUUCUAUGUCAAGAUGUCACAUUUGUUUAGUAAGUCGACUAAGUUCUUGUCACUUGUCAUGCAUAAAUAGGAUUAUUAAAAUUCUCAUAUGCAUUUGAACUCACAACAUGCAAAAAGAAGCUUUCAAUUACCCUACUAUGCAAUAUGCUCAAAUACACACAUAUGCUCAAAUAUGACACUUUAUACAUAAAAAGAAUUCCGAAGUCCUUGGUAUGCACCACCCAUCUUAGAUGGUUGGGAGGAUGCUACGGUGAAUUUCUUGAGAUUUUUGAAGCCCUAAUUUAUCGCCUGUGGCAAAAUGAAGCCAAUUAGGCUUUUUCACAAUAACUUUAUCUAAAUCUUUUCAUAACGUCAAACGGAGUUGUCCCACGCGUCGGGAAUACCGCUAAUUAGAUUUCUACAAGGUCAAUUUGCCUUAGAAACUCCCUAGGGUAAAAGCCCUAAAUUGGGUGCCCUAAUAUUACCAUUUGCAAAAUCCUAGAUUUUGAUCUCUAAAACAAGCAAAAGAGAGUUUGUCCAACAUCUAGAAGCUCAUUUAGAACUAUCUAAACCAAUUCUAGGGCUUAGAAUGUAAACCCUAAAAAUCCACCAUUAAAGCAAAUGAAGAAAAUUAGGAUUUUCAUAUGUUCUAAGCCAUUAAUAGGUUUCUAUACAUGAAAGAAGAUCAAAACCUAGUUUUCUAGGGCAUAAAACCAAACCCUAGACCUAUUGUCACAAAACACCCCACCUUAGCCCAAAGCUCUCCAAUGUCCAUGUAACGACCCAGCCCACUAGCAAUAAUAACUCGUUGGGCCCAGCCAACAGCCCAAAAUGCUUAAGCCCACUUAUUAUUACUAGUGUCUAAGUCUCUUAUAAACCCAAUGACAACCCCAUUCCCAUCCGAUGUGGUAUUAUUGGGGUGUCACAGACUCCCCCCGUUAAGGCCUUGACGUUCUCGUCAGUUCAAUCACACACACAGCCCAAGAUCAUCAAGCGAUGUGAGACUCGUCUCACUAGCCUGUCAUUAAGACCCUGGCUCAGUCGAGACUCGCCACACAUGUCCAGUUGGUGAACCAGCUCUGAUACCAAAUAUAACGACCCAGCCCACUAGCAACAAUAACUCGUUGGGCCCAGCCAACAGCCCAAAAUGCUUAAGCCCAGUUAUUAUUACUAGUGUGUAAGUCUCUUAUAAACCCAAUUAUAACCCCAUUCCCAUCCGAUGUGGGAUUAUUGGGGUGUCACUGUAACCUACCAUACCCCCGUAAGUUGUGCGGAGUUCUGUCAAAAUGCGCGGAACGCGGAGUGGAAAAAGUUGGUAUGGCUUAAAAGUGCAUUAGAGCCCAUAGGAAGAGGUUAGGGACCUGAGAGAGCGAGAUUACAAAAUCUGGCUAAGUCCAAGAUUUUGGGCUCUUGGGGACCGGUCCCUGAUGGAGAGACCGGUCCCCGUACGCGUAGCUUGCCCUUAAUCCUGAGGCAACCGGUCCCUGGGUGUGAGACCGAUCCUCGGGAGACCGGUCCCUUGCUGCGCAGCCAGCCAAAAACGCAGAAAAUCGGCUAAGUCCUGGAAAUCCAACCUUCGGGAAUCGGUCCCUGGUCGGGGAGACCGGUCCCAGACUGCGAAAAAUGCCCAGUCUGGGCAAUGCAUUGGAAAUAAAGUGGAGGGGCCUUGUUGUAAUUGUUACAACAUGAUAUAACCCUACACCUCUUCUCUCCCACAACCAUUUUCACUUCCCCAACUCACUCCCCUUCUUUCUCUCUCUAAAACCCAAGCUCCAAGGCAAGGAGAAGGUGGAGAAAAGCUUAGAGAAGGAUUUUUGGUGGAUUUGGUGGGUCUAGAAGCUCUCCAACAAGAAGAAGCUUGCUAGGACUUGGACUAGAGGUAAGUUCUUGUAAGUUUUCCUUUAGGGUUUGGGUUUUUACCUAAGGAUUUGGAGCUUUCUGCUCCUUAGAGGUCUUAGAAGCUCUUUUGAGCCAUGAACAACAAGACACCCAUGAGAGCUCAAGGUGCUCUCAUGGUGAACCAUUGGGGGUUGAGCUAGAUGCCCUAGGGUUGGUUCCAAGAGCUUAGAAACUUUAUUAGAGAGCUUCUCAAGUGAUUUUAAGCUAUCCUUUACUUAGCAACAAGAUCAAUCUAGGUGGAAGCCCUAGAUGACAUUGUUAGGGCUCAAAUUUGGAGCUUUUGCCCUAAAAUUUUUCGAGGGCGAAUUGACCUCGUAGAAACUUAAUUGGGGGUGUCCUCGACGCGUUGGACAACUUCGUUCGAUGUUACGAAUAUGUUUAAGUAUGGUUUAUGUACAAAAAGUCUAAUGUGGCACUAUUUUGGUUAUAGGACGCGGAAUCGGCUUUCGUAAAGUUCGGGAGUCAUCGUAUUCUACACCUACACGACCACUCGAGAUGGGUGGUGCGUUCCAAGGACCUCAGAAAUUUCUUUAUGUCUAAAGUGUCAUGUUUGAACAUAUAUGUAUAUAUUGAGCAUGUUGCAUAGUAGGAUUAAUUGUGAGUUUUUAUUACAUGAUUGUGAAUUUAAUUUCGUAUGAAAUA
rnacentral:lncRNA from 1 species